rnacentral:rRNA from 1 species
UGGGGAAUUUUGGACAAUGGGGGCAGCCCUGAUCCAGCAAUGCCGCGUGAGUGAAGAAGGCCUUCGGGUUGUAAAGCUCUUUUGUCAGGGAAGAAACGGUAGUAGCGAAUAACUAUUACUAAUGACGGUACCUGAAGAAUAAGCACCGGCUAACUACGUGCCAGCAGCCGCGGUAAUACGUAGGGUGCAAGCGUUAAUCGGAAUUACUGGGCGUAAAGCGUGCGCAGGCGGUUGUGUAAGUCAGAUGUGAAAUCCCCGGGCUCAACCUGGGAAUUGCAUUUGAGACUGCACGGCUAGAGUGUGUCAGAGGGGGGUAGAAUUCCACGUGUAGCAGUGAAAUGCGUAGAUAUGUGGAGGAAUACCGAUGGCGAAGGCAGCCCCCUGGGAUAACACUGACGCUCAUGCACGAAAGCGUGGGGAGCAAACAGGAUUAGAUACCCUGGUAGUCCCUGAGCGGGCUGGCAAGGCGCAU